GCGAUUAUAACUUAAUUGGUAGAGUAUUAGAUUGUGGGUCUAAAUGUUGUGGGUUCAAGUCCCACUUCUCGCC
rfam:Plasmopara halstedii genome assembly, contig: Scaffold_2292, organelle: mitochondrion